CGAGGCAAGCGCAAAAAAAAUCAUGCAUUUUUCAACAUUAGUCGCAAACGCUGCUUCACUGAGAAGGUGCGCCCACAUAAACUGCAGGGAUCCUGUGCACAGGCUGCUUCAUGAUGUCUGCACUCAAACGUUUAAGUGCUUUUUUUUCCGCAAAAUGCCGUUCCAAGAGCAGUUUUAAAUUUAGGGAAUAGCGAGGCGGCGAAUGUUAUUGAAAGCGCGAGGCUUGUUUGAACAGGUUUUUUUAAGGUGGAGGGUGUGAGAGGCAAAGGGUGGCUAGCUGCCUUGUAUUGUAAGGGAUUAUCCCUAAUUUGAUUAUCCUUAAAGGACGCCUCUUGUCCUCUAUUUCUGGGACAGCAGGUGGGAGACUGAUCUGGGAGUCUCCAGCGUGAUUUGGGUGGGACUGCAAAUAGUGAAUUCACCAGCAGAGGUUUGAUAAUGUUGUGACUCAACAAGAUAAAUUGUAAGUAUUAAAGCCUGCGUUCCCCACUGUUAUGAUCUCAAGAACCACUUCCCCAACCCCUGUCAUGUUGAAACCACCACCACCACCCCGCGCUCUCACAGCCCCUGCUCUCAUUGUACCACCACCCUUCUCGCUCCUGACCCUACAGUCAAAGUGUGCCUUAUUUUAUUUCAUAAGUGUUGGUCACCAUGCAGGAUGAUCAUCUCUACCAUUUAUCAUUGUGUUAACUACAAUUACUCAGUGGAAAAAUUCCAAUUUCUUAAACACUUUUUCCAAAAUCAUAACGCAUUAUUCUUUAUACGUAUGCUCCUCCAUUCUGUCCAGAACCUGUUCAUUUCUAUUCACUAUAUAUAUUCUUCACUACUAUCAUAGCUUUCACUUUUUCUCAAUAUUAUCUACUUUACAUUACUAUGCAUUGAGCUGUGUUAGCCACUGAUUUGCCCACUUGUUCAAUCCAUCUAUCUUAGGAUAGUUAAAGCUUCUCAAUAUUAUAAUUCUGAGACCGCCCUUAUCUGCCUGCAAGGUGUAUCCUUUUCCCCCCAACUAUUCCAUAGUCUAUAAGGACACAGUAAUAGGAGUGUGCCAUUCAUUCCCUUGACCCCAAUUCCACUAUUCAGUAAGAUCAGGCAAUCUUACAGCACAGAAGGAGGUCAUUCAGUUCAUCUUCAUCGUACCUGUGAAAGAUAUAUCGAAUUAUUCUCACUCCGCUGCUCCAUCCCAUUAGCCCUGCAAUUUUUUAAGCAGGAGGGGACAUCCACUUCCAUCCAUCUUUAUCCUGGUCCAUCCAUGUGAUGUGCAAGUGCAUACACACCCAAGAAAUGCUGUCAGUGAGGCUUAGACCAGAGGAUCAGAGUGGCCUAGAAGAAACGUGAAAUGACAGGCACAGUAAAGUCCGAGAAGUCAAAGUCCAGAAGAUGUUUCCAUUGAGGUGGAGUUCAGUCCAGAUGAGUUCCUGGUUGGAGACAGCAACACGAAAAUCCUUGAAGUGAAUGAUGCUGCAGCAUGAUGGGCUGCCUCCGCUUCGGUUACUUGACAGACAAUAAUCAGAGACUUUGAAAACAAACAGGCUUUGGAGAGUUGAGAGACGAUGACCUGCUGCAUGAUCAGCAAGGAGCUGCUGCAGUUCUUUCCAGUUGAUGUUAAAACAGUAGUCUGAGAUGUGAGGCUAGAAAUUAAAAUGAUCCAAGAGGCUAGAAGCAUGGCAUCAUGUAACGUGGCCCAUUAAUGAAUUAAUGCAGCCUUUCAAGCAGUUUCAGUGCACCUGACCAAAACCCAUUGUUUCUCUUAGGAGUGAAAUUAUGGCUUUAACACUUCUUCACGUAUAAUAAGUUUUGAUGCCUAUUGCUUUGUUAUCAUUCCAGCUGGGGGAGUCAGUUCGUGUAUUAGUCGUCUAGUUUCAUGAUUAUAAUGUGGCCUUACAAUGGGGUGUGAGAUUCCACAAGGAUGGAAGUGGAACUCUUUUGUUCUUGUAGUCUCUAUUGGAACCUUCCAGAAGAAAUGGUCAAUCUUAUGACUCAUGUGACCUGUAGCAGCUUUUUUGUGAAUAGCAAAAAAAAUAAAGUUUUGAUACAUGCA